rnacentral:rRNA from 1 species
AUGCGGUGGGCGGGGUGCUAUACAUGCAAGUCGAGCGAACGGAUAAGGAGCUUGCUCCUUUGAAGUUAGCGGCGGACGGGUGAGUAACACGUGGGUAACCUACCUAUAAGACUGGAAUAACUUCGGGAAACCGGAGCUAAUGCCGGAUAACAUUUGGAACCGCAUGGUUCUAAAGUAAAAGAUGGUUUUGCUAUCACUUAUAGAUGGACCCGCGCCGUAUUAGCUAGUUGGUAAGGUAACGGCUUACCAAGGCAACGAUACGUAUCCGACCUGAGAGGGUGAUCGGCCACACUGGAACUGAGACACGGUCCAGACUCCUACGGGAGGCAGCAGUAGGGAAUCUUCCGCAAUGGACGAAAGUCUGACGGAGCAACGCCGCGUGAGUGAUGAAGGUUUUCGGAUCGUAAAACUCUGUUAUUAGGGAAGAACAAAUGUGUAAGUAACUGUGCACAUCUUGACGGUACCUAAUCAGAAAGCCACGGCUAACUACGUGCCAGCAGCCGCGGUAAUACGUAGGUGGCAAGCGUUAUCCGGAAUUAUUGGGCGUAAAGCGCGCGUAGGCGGGUUCUUAAGUCUGAUGUGAAAGCCCACGGCUCAACCGUGGAGGGUCAUUGGAGACUGGGAUACUUGAGUACAGAAGAGGAUAGUGGAAUUCCAUGUGUAGCGCUGAUAUGCGCAGAGAUAUGGAGGGAACACCACUGGCGAAGGCGACUUUCUGGUCUGUAACUGACGCUGAUGUGCGACAGCGUGGGGAUCAAACAGGAUUAUAUACCCUGGUAGUGCACGCCCUAAACGAUGAGUGCUAAGCCGUUAGGUGGGGGUACUCCCCUCUACUGCUGCGAGCUAACGCAUUAAACACUCCGCCCUGGGGAGGACGACCGCGAGGUUGGAGACUCUCAGGAAUUGACGGGGACCAGCCACAAGCCGUGGGUAUAGCGUUUUUAAUUCUAUGAACGCUGACGAGCCUUACCAAAUCUUGGGCGUUGCGUUUGUGAUACUC